rnacentral:rRNA from 1 species
GUAGAAAUAUCGCCCUUCCCGCAAGGGACUGGAGUCGAGGUGCUGCAUGGCUGUCGUCAGCUCGUGUCGUGAGAUGUUGGGUUAAGUCCCGCAACGAGCGCAACCCUUGUCCUGUGUUGCUAACCCCUUAAAAGGUGCACUCUCAGGAGACCGCCAGCGAUAAGUUGGAGGAAGGUGGGGAUGACGUCAAGUCAUCAUGGCCUUUAUGUCCAGGGCUACACACGUGCUACAAUGGACGGUACAAAGCGCUGCGAACCCGCGAGGGGAAGCCAAUCGCAAAAAACCGUUCUCAGUUCGGAUUGCAGGCUGCAACUCGCCUGCAUGAAGCUGGAAUCGCUAGUAAUGGCGUAUCAGAACGACGCCGUGAAUACGUUCCCGGGCCUUGUACACACCGCCCGUCACAUCACGAAAGUGGAUUGUACUAGAAGCCUGCAUGCUAACCCGCAAGGGAGGCAGCGGUCCAAGGUAUGAUUCAUGAUUGGGGUGAAGUCGUAACAAGGUAGC